ensembl:lncRNA novel transcript
AGAAAUGGAAAAGCCAAUCCUGAAAUUCAGAUGAAAUUGCCAGAAACAAUGAGUAGCCAAAACUAUCUGGAAAAAAAAUGAACAAAUUUGUAGAACCUACACUUUCCUAUUUCCAGAAUUAUUACAAAGUUAUGAAAUAAAAGAGGAUACAAACAAAUGGAAGAACAUUCCAUGCGCGCACGUAGGAAGAAUCAAUAUCGUGAAACACAGCUUGCUGAACUCCUGCCUGAAUAGAACUGAGAGCGGUCACUCAAGACGCUGCUCGAACAGUCACUGGGGGUUUAUAUUUUCAUCCAGAAACCUGCAUUAGGGAAAGAGGGAUGCGACUGUCUUCAUCUUUGCACCAUCUUAUCCAUCCUUUUCUGUCUCUGGCUAUUGCAGUGUUGAUUUGAAGAAGGGAAACGGAAAGAUUCCUCAACCAUAAAGUGGACAUGGGAACUACUUUCACAAAGUUGUUGGAAGAAUUAAAUAAAAUGCCUAUUAUUGUUUAAAAAUUA